UUACGGCCACAUCAAGUUGAAACAUUGGUUCCUGUACGAUCACCGAAGUUAAGCGACGUCGAGCCUGCUCUGCCAAGAUGGGUGACCGCUCGGAAAUACCAGGUGCUGUCA